CCUACGGGAGGCAGCAGUGGGGAAUAUUGGACAAUGGGCGAAAGCCUGAUCCAGCAAUGCCGCGUGAGUGAUGAAGGCCUUAGGGUUGUAAAGCUCUUUUACCAGGGAUGAUAAUGACAGUACCUGGAGAAUAAGCUCCGGCUAACUCCGUGCCAGCAGCCGCGGUAAUACGGAGGGAGCUAGCGUUGUUCGGAAUUACUGGGCGUAAAGAGUACGUAGGCGGUUAUUCAAGUCAGAGGUGAAAGCCCGGGGCUCAACCCCGGAACUGCCUUUGAAACUAGAUAGCUAGAAUCUUGGAGAGGUCAGUGGAAUUCCGAGUGUAGAGGUGAAAUUCGUAGAUAUUCGGAAGAACACCAGUGGCGAAGGCGACUGACUGGACAAGUAUUGACGCUGAGGUACGAAAGCGUGGGGAGCAAACAGGAUUAGAUACCCUGGUAGUCCACGCCGUAAACGAUGAUAACUAGUUGUUCGGGCACUUGGUGCCUGAGUGACGCAGCUAACGCAUUAAGUUAUCCGCCUGGGGAGUACGGUCGCAAGAUUAAAACUCAAAGGAAUUGACGG
rnacentral:rRNA from 1 species